rnacentral:rRNA from 1 species
AUGGCGGAGCAGCUUGCUUCGGUGCCGGAGGAGAGCGCCACCGCCACCGGCUUCACGGCUCCCAACCCACAGCCACCGCGCAACACCUACCGCGACCGGAUCCGGAAAGUCCCUGUGUCCGGAGCGCCGAAAAAAUGGACUCUUGUGCCCCUUUCCCAGUCCGGCCAUAAGGGAUCCAGCUACUCAAGCUCCGGUGCCUCCAAUUCUUGCCCGUCCAACAACUCCGACAGCUCCUGCAGAACCGUUCCGGUAUUCGCCCCCUUGGCGGACAAUGAUGAGCUCAUGCGGAUUGCUCGCCAAAUGUUCAGCGAUGGGUACACCCGGCACAUGGUCCAAGCAUUCGACGACACAUCAUCUGCACCAGCAUUCAAAUAUGGUGGCGUCCCAGACCAUGCCCUGGAGAACUGGUUCUUAGAGCUCGACGUCGACUGGGUUCUCCAAAUUCAUGACAAGCAUGACUUACGGCGGCUGCUGCAAGACAAGCCGGCAUCGACGCUGCAAGACUUGGUUGAGAGGUGGAUCCGGGCCCUUACGGUAAUUGUCACCAGUAUCACUGAAUUGGUACUCGCUUUCCACGGGACACCGGCGGCCGCGCGGUUUGGCAAAGCGAGCAUCACUGAGAUGUUCGUCUUCGUGGACACCAUCAUCCCUCUUCUCAAAGCCGAGAAGCUUCACGUCGUGCUUGACAUGUUCAUCUGUGUCUCAGGUGCGUCAUUCAUGUUUACGCCAGCCAUGAUAUCUCCAGAAGUCCAAAACAUGUUCAGUGAGAUAGGCAGCUCGUUAGAGAAGGAAGGGAACAAGCUAAGCGAGGCCAUAUCAAGCACUAUGGGGGAGAUGAGAGCGCUCAUCGAGGACGACGAGUCGUGGGAAGUCGAGAUCAAGCGAGGAGGAUGCGAGGUUCACACGAACACUCGGUUCAUCAUCGAUUGUGUUGUGUUGAUGAGAAAAGCACAGGCUUCGACGGAGAACUCCACCGGGAACCAUAACACUGGAAAUCUACGUGACCUAAUAGAUGACACGAUCGAUUAUCUGAAGGGUCUGCUCUUGACAAAAUCAAAGCUGUGCUCAGAUCCAAGUCACAGGUACCUGUUCCUGCUCAACAAUUUGUAUUUUCUAUCGCAAGUGUCCGAGCCAUCACUGUCGUUAGAUAUUGAGCUGUGCCCUGGAAACAUCGAAAUUGAACUUACGCCUGAGUGUGAGAAGUACAUGGAUAUGUAUCUGGAUGUUUCCUGGAGACGUGUGAAAUCCUGCAUGCCAGAACCGGGUCUUUGUCUUGCACUGAUUUAUCAUUGGAAUAUCUUUUCACUCCCUUCACUGGAUAAAUUCCAUUCAGCUUUUCGUAAAACAUAUCAUGCCCACAAGUUCUGGAAGGUUCCGGACCCUAGGCUCCGAUCCUUACUGCGGAAAACUAUCGCCAAAACAGUCAUUCCAGAUUACCACGACUACCUGAAGGAGCGCCCAGAGCUAGAAAAACACAUUAGUGGCGGAAGCAACAGUCCUAACGCAUUGGAGCAGCUGUUGGAAGAACUAUUUGAAGGAUGA